ensembl:lncRNA
GCUGAGACCAAGGUGUCUUUAUUUAGAGACAGGGAGUCAAUGUUGAGACCAAGGUGUCUUUAUUUAGAGACAGGGAGUCAAUGCUGAGACCAAGGUGUCUUUAUUUAGAGACAGGGAGUCAAUGCUGAGACCAAGGUGUCUUUAUUGAGACAGGGAGAGGUAGAGGUCAUGUGAUGUAAUUACACAGGCCGAUGCUGCAGGGAUGUAGAGGUCAUGUGGUGUAAUUACACAGGCCGAUGCUGCAGGGAUGUAGAGGUCAUUUGAAGCAGCCUUUCUUCCAUCGCGUGUUUGGAACAAUGACAAAGACAUCGGCAACUUUGUAUUCUGUCGUCAACUCCGCUCUGAAGUGACCUGGCGGGCACCGUCAGGCAGAGAUCAACAUCUUGAUGUAUGUUC